rnacentral:rRNA from 1 species
UUUUAUGGAGAGUUUGAUCCUGGCUCAGAGUGAACGCUGGCGGCGUGCCUAAUACAUGCAAGUCGAACGAUGAAGCUUCUAGCUUGCUAGAAGUGGAUUAGUGGC